AACAAAAAGACGAUUUCAGAUUCUGUGGCUACAGAGAGAAUAAUGAAAUUCCUGAAGAUACUGAAAUUUACUAGGCUUCAGAAUACCCCAUUAUUGUUAGCAACUAUCAUUAGAAGAAGAGCCAUUAUUGGAGAGAAAGAAAUUCCACUGACCCCAAAGUAACGAAAUAAUCCUACUAUUGCAUAAAUCGCAAAACAGGAAAAAGCUCAAGCAUGUUGAUUCUGGUCAGAACAGAACAGUCACUUCAGAAACCUGGGCUGAGGACACCACAAGAGGAUUAUUGCUG